GCUAUCCCGGCGGGCCGCGCGCGCGGCCGCGUUUGAAUGGCUCAUAGUGGGGCUCGGCCCGGGAGCCGAGGGACGUUCUAGGCUGCCGGGCGCAGCCCGUCAGCUCCGGGGCAGGGCUGAGGUGCCGCGGUACCAUGAGGCGCCGGUAUUUAAGAGAUUAUGGCAUCUGAAGCCCACAAUGUUAAAAAACGAACCUUUUGUAAUAAUAUUGAGGAUCAUUCCACUGAUCUUCCUAGAAAAAGGAUCUCUAAUUUUACUAACAAGAACAUGAAGGAGGUUAAGAAAUCUCCAAAACAGUUGGCUGCUUACAUAAAUAGAACAGUUGGACAAGCUGUGAAAAGUCCAGAUAAACUACGUAAGGUGAUCUAUCGCAGAAAGAAAGUGCACCAUCCUUUUCCAAAUCCUUGUUACAGAAAAAAACAGUCCCCUAGAAGUGGGGGCUGUGACAUGGCCAAUAAAGAAAAUGAACUGGCUUGUGCGGGCCACCUGCCUGAAAAAUUACGCCCUGAUAGUCGGACAUACUUACUUAACUCCAGGGAAUCUGGUUCUUCACAGACAGAAAGCCCUUCAUCAAAAUACAGUGGGUUUUUUUCUGAGGUUUCUCAGGACCAUGAAACAAUGGCACAGGUUUUGUUCAGCAGGAAUUUGAGACUAAAUGUAGCUUUAACGUUCUGGAGAAAGAGAAGUAUAAGUGAACUUGUAGCUUAUUUGGUGAGGAUAGAAGACCUUGGAGUUGUUGUGGAUUGUCUUCCUGUACUCACCAAUAGUUUACAGGAGGAAAAACAAUACAUCUCACUCGGCUGCUGUGUAGAUUUGUUGCCUCUUGUCAAGUCCCUACUUAAAAGCAAAUUUGAAGAGUAUAUAAUAGUUGGUUUAAACUGGCUUCAAGCAGUCAUAAAAAGGUGGUGGUCAGAACUAUCAUCCAAAACAGAAAUUAUAAAUGAUGGAAAUAUUCAGAUUUUAAAGCAACAGUUAAGUGGAUUAUGGGAACAGGAAAAUCAUCUUACUUUGGUUCCAGGAUAUACUGGUAACAUAGCCAAGAAUUCAGAAGGAAGCUGCUCCUUAGCACAUGCUGAGUCAGAAGUAGUGUGAAAGAGGGGGAAAGAACCCUGGACGACAAUCAGGGAAUCCUGAGUUUUAAACUCCUCCAAACAAGCUCAGAGAGAUUAUUGGGCAAGACAACUGACUCUGGCAAUGAUGUUGAAGAGUAAUUGCAGGGGGCUCAACGGAAGCAGGAAGCUCAGAAGACCCAGCAAUAACUCAGGCAGGACAUUAAGGCAAGUUAGAUGCCUCUUGGACUCCCUCUGAGAAUGGUGGAGGAUGCAUCCCAUUUGAGACGAAAUUAUAGGCAACUUCAGAAUGCCAGAACUGGAGUCCCGGUGGAUGAUAGACAUUUUUAAAUAUUAAGGAAAUUGGCUCCCAUUUGCUUGAGUGAACAACAUUAGCUAAUCUACUUGAAGUACAUGAAGUUUGAGAACUCAAAGGACAAAAAUCACUUAAAGUAAAAUAGGGUCUUUAGGGAUCAGCACAGCUGAUGUUUUCCAAGCAUUCCUGCUAUUAUUAUUCUAUUGUUUAAAAAACAAACCCUUUGAAAAUAAAUAAAUACCCAUUGGCUUAAAUAUAA